GGCAAACCCAACCAGAUGCAGUUGGAAUAAGCAUUAUCAUUAUCAUUAUCAUCAAUCAAUCAAAAGGAAUACAUCAUGAUAAUAAGUAAUGUAUCAACAUACAAAAAUCCAAACCCAAAUAUUUUCCCAAAAAUUCAGCAUAAUUAUUUAAUUUGGAGAGGGGUUUGUUUUUUUAUUUUAUGAACCGAGCAGCUUCUUCCAUCUAGCGUAUCCAAGCACAAUUAGAAAAAGCAUGAUAGACGCGACUGUAAUAGCUCCAACGAAAGGCUCAAAUAUUCCUUCUCUAUAAUACAAAUCACACGGUAUAUUCAUUCCAAAUAAUCCCGCCACCAGGGUCUCAAUGGCUAUAGCAAAUGACGCGAUCGUUAAUGUCAGUUGAAGUUGAAUAAGCUCGUUACGUUGGUUGUCCAGUUGGAUGUUCACAUAGUCCUCUGUGUCAUCAAUGUACUCACGAACCUAUAAGAUUUUGUUACGGGUCCCAUCAAGCUGCAUAAAAUAGGCCUCGAGCAACAUCUCAAGAUCCUCAACAUCAUCAUCGUACAGAUUAGCACUUGUCAUCAUACUUCCACUCUUGACGGAACUAAGCCGCCUCAGAUGGUGUCCCCCGUUGUUGAAGCUAAUGGACCCCACGCCUCCAGCCAAACCCUCACUCUGUUGGUUCUGUAACCACUUUCUUGUUAAAUACAACUGCGUCAUAUCUUCAUCGUC
rnacentral:lncRNA from 1 species